rnacentral:rRNA from 1 species
GAUGAUGUGGUUUAAUUCGAUGCAACGCGAAAAACCUUACCCACCUUUGACAUGUACGGAAGUUGCCAGAGAUGGUUUCGUGCUCGAAAGAGAACCGUAACACAGGUGCUGCAUGGCUGUCGUCAGCUCGUGUCGUGAGAUGUUGGGUUAAGUCCCGCAACGAGCGCAACCCUUGUCAUUAGUUGCUACAUUUAGUUGGGCACUCUAAUGAGACUGCCGGUGACAAACCGGAGGAAGGUGGGGAUGACGUCAAGUCCUCAUGGCCCUUAUAGGUGGGGCUACACACGUCAUACAAUGGCUGGUACAAAGGGUUGCCAACCCGCGAGGGGGAGCUAAUCCCAUAAAGCCAGUCGUAGUCCGGAUCGCAGUCUGCAACUCGACUGCGUGAAGUCGGAAUCGCUAGUAAUCGUGGAUCAGAAUGUCACGGUGAAUACGUUCCCGGGUCUUGUACACACCGCCCGUCACACCAUGGGAGCGGGUUCUGCCAGAAGUAGUUAGCCUAACCGCAAGGAGGGCGAUUACCACGGCAGGGUUCGUGACUGGGGUGAAGUCGUAACAAGGUAACC